rnacentral:rRNA from 1 species
AGUGAACGCUGGCGGUAGGCCUAACACAUGCAAGUCGAACGGCAGCACAGUAAGAGCUUGCUCUUACGGGUGGCGAGUGGCGGACGGGUGAGGAAUACAUCGGAAUCUACUUUUUCGUGGGGGAUAACGUAGGGAAACUUACGCUAAUACCGCAUACGACCUACGUGUGAAAGCAGGGGAUCUUCGGACCUUGCGCGAUUGAAUGAGCCGAUGUCGGAUUAGCUAGUUGGCGGGGUAAAGGGCCACCAAGGCGACGAUCCGUAGCUGGUCUGAGAGGAUGAUCAGCCACACUGGAACUGAGACACGGUCCAGACUCCUACGGGAGGCAGCAGUGGGGAAUAUUGGACAAUGGGCGAAAGCCUGAUCCAGCCAUACCGCGUGGGUGAAGAAGGACUUCGGGUUGUAAAGCCCUUUUGUUGGGAAAGAAAAGCAGCAGGUUAAUACCCCGCUGUUCUGACGGUACCCAAAGAAUAAGCACCGGCUAACUUCGUG